GGGGGCACAGUCCACACGCCCUUCCACGCAGUCUAUAGAGGUCUAUGCACCUUUUAUGCAUGAUCGGAUGGUUUGGAAGCAUGUCGGUCAUGAUCCAAUGGCUAUGAGCCAUCCCAUGGAGAUCAGGGCAUGAUCGGGUGUUUGGGCGCAUGGAUGAGGUGAGGUCUGGCACGAUCCAACGACCAAAUUUUGUCCAGAGGCCUGAUCAGAUGGUCCAAAUCAUUUCGAGGUUGAUCAGGAGCCUAGAGACACCUGAUUGCAUGAUCAGAUGGCCACAGUUCGAUCCAGUCAUGAUCAGACAGUCCAAAAAGAUUUUAGGAUUUGAUUUGAGCCUGAUAUUUGAGUG
rnacentral:lncRNA from 1 species